rnacentral:rRNA from 1 species
AUUGAACGCUGGCGGCAUGCCUUACACAUGCAAGUCGAACGGUAACAGGCCGCAAGGUGCUGACGAGUGGCGAACGGGUGAGUAAUGCAUCGGAACGUGCCCAGUCGUGGGGGAUAACUGCUCGAAAGAGCAGCUAAUACCGCAUACGACCUGAGGGUGAACGCGGGGGACCGUAAGGCCUCGCGCGAUUGGAGCGGCCGCUGUCUGAUUCGCUAGUUGGUGGGGUAAAGGCCUACCAAGGCAACGAUCUGUAGUUGGUCUGAGAGGACGACCAGCCACACUGGGACUGAGACACGGCCCAGACUCCUACGGGAGGCAGCAGUGGGGAAGUUUGGACAAUGGGCGCAAGCCUGAUCCAGCAAUGCCGCGUGCAGGAAGAAGGCCUUCGGGUUGUAAACUGCUUUUGUCAGGGAAGAAAUCUUCUGGGCUAAUACCCCGGGAGGAUGACGGUACCUGAAGAAUAAGCACCGGCUAACUACGUGCCAGCAGCCGCCGUAACAC